AUAUAAAUUUAAUUCACCCACUAGAUUUUAACCCGCGGUAUACCGCAGAGACAAUUUAUUUUUUAAAUUAGUAUAUAUAAAAA
rnacentral:sRNA from 1 species